rnacentral:lncRNA from 1 species
UGAUCACCUAGAAUUCCAUUUUAGAAAUGUGGCAUAAUGUAGUAAACUGAUUUUUUAGUGAUAUUCAGAUCAUUUCCACUCUCUUGCCAUUACAAAGCUUCAAUGACUAGCUCUGUACACAUACAUCCACCACCCCACAUGUUCAAGGGUGUCUGUUUAUCCUGUUUGAAUUUCAUUACCUUUGGCUUCCUCUUUCUUCCUGCAGUGUCAGUCCUAAGAUCAUUGUAACUUGAGAAGCAGAAAAAGGGAAUAAAGCAUCUGAAAAAAAAUUCAAGUAUACAAUCAACUCAGAAGAAAAAUAGAAAGAAUGAUCACACGUGAAUCAGCCUGCUGUACCUUUUUUGAGGCAACUUUUUCUCACCCAGUGGUCUUCAAUCUCAGCAAGCCACUGUGAGUCCUUUUCUCUGUUGCCCGCCACUGUACCAAUUGCUGGGUUCAGAGUGGUGGCCUACUGGCUCCCUGUACUGCCCUCUUUCAGGGUUCUGGCUGGGGCAUGUGCACACUUGGAAUGGUAUUUGGGUGUGUCUCUGGCUUGGACCUGCCCCCUGCAUAGCUGCUGUCUGGGAGAGCGUUUUGCUGGGGGCUGUGCUCCUGAGUUGCUGCUGCCUGAGCGGCUUCUGGCUGGGGCCUGCAUGCACUUACUAAUGGUAUGUAGGUGGGCUUCUGGCUGUUGCUUGUGUGCCUAG